GCUUCACAAGCUGCUUCACCUCAACAGGCUGUGUCGGAAUGUCUGCUAGGACCAUGGACAAACCGCAUUUGGCAGCUCACGUCCUUAGGUGCCAGGUGGUCAUCUAAAUACAUCUGGUUUGUCAUUCACGGUGACUUCACAGGGCGCGUGCUGCUAUCGUUGGCCACUUUAUAGGGAUGGGAACAAAGAGAGAUUAUUAAAUAACCUGGCCUCAGUAGCAGAGCUAGUCAGCAACAGAGCAACCAAAGUAGCGUGUCUUCAGAGCCCACGUUUAUCCGCGCUUCUGUGUCACCGCACGUCACUGCCCCUGCUGGUCCACCCAGAAGCCUGGGAAGAGUUCAUAGUUUCCCUUCUGAAACCAACAUGAAAAACAGAUGCCCAAAUAUGUUAUUUAACAGCGUAAGGACAAGGAACCUGCACAUCUUGCUGUGUUCUAGACUUCUACCGACAGGAGUCAAAUUUCACCUCCACUUUUCUUAGUUCUGAAAGCACGGUGAGAAGGCAGCCCUGUGCAGGCCAGGAAAAAGGGCUCUCACCAGAACCUGACCACGCUGGCACCCUGAUACUGGAUCUCCAUCCUCUGGAACCGUGAGAAAUAAAUUUCCGUAGUUUAAACUACCCAGUCUAUGGUGCUUAGUCAUGGCAGCCCAAGCUGAAGACAAAAACCAAUAAAAAUAGUAAGUGUUUUAGUGUUAUAA